UACGUACGAGGCAAGCGUUAUCCGGAAUUACUGGCGUAAAGCGUGCGCAGGCGGUUCGUUGUGUCGGCGGUGAAAGCCCCGGGCUUAACCUGGGAAUGGCCGUCGAAAUUGGCCGAACUGGAGUGUGGCAGAGGGGGGUGGAAUCCGCGUGUAGCAGUGAAAUGCGUAGAGAUGCGGAGGAACACCGAUGGCGAAGGCAGCCCCUGGGCUGACACUGACGCCUCAGGCAC
rnacentral:rRNA from 1 species